CUUCAAUGUAUUUUUUGACUGCCAUUCUGGGGUCGAGAAGGAUUUUUUUUUCCUAGUUUGUUGCAAAAUUGGAAGUGCUUCAAACUUGUUUGGUUUUGUUUGCCUUAUUUUGGAUCAACUGCAAAAAACAAAUGUGAGGAUGGCUGAAUUUGAUGGACGCAAGUCUCUUUUCAGGUCCAUCCCACUGUCCUCGACUACUGCCUCGACUACUGUAAGCCGCUUCUUACGUGCUCCCUACUUGCGCCAUACCAGUCCAUAAUGAAUGCGGCGAGGCUCAUCUUCCUGUCUGCCUGCACCUCCCACGCCUCACCCUUCUCUUAGUCCCUACAUUGGCUUCCUGUAAGAUAUAGGGCUCAACUUAAAAUUCUGGUUCUUGCUUUCAAAUCUCUACAUAAUUCUGCUUCCACCUACCUAUCCUCCCUAAUACACAAGUAUGUCCCGUCUAGACCCUUAUACUCUGCUGAAGACUUACAUCUAUCUUCUGUCCAUACUCCCACCUCUGAUAUAUAGCCUUCAAAACUUCUGGAGGGCUGCACCAUUCCUGUGGAACUCACUUCCCUCCUCUGUUAGAUGCUCACUGUGAAGGAUUUCCUGCAACCCAUUUGGUUGUUUCCACUCCCUGCUGUUUUAUUUACUUGGGUCAUUUCGUUAUUUUUUCGUUAUUCGGUAAAAUAUUUGUUUUACUGAACGGAGACCACCCUGGGUACCAAUUAGAACAUAGAACCUUGUGUAACUACACGAAAACCACAAGUUAAUUGAAUGCUCCUAGGUGGCCGCUAUUUCGUGCAUACGAACGCACGCGGUGAGAACAAUGGGCGGCCAUCUUAACUCCCGAACGCGGCCAGCGGGACUUAGUCAUUGAGAAUUUUUAAAAAUUGCACCGAUGGAGAUGAUUUUAAAG